CCUACGGGUGGCAGCAGUGGGGAAUAUUGGACAAUGGGCGAAAGCCUGAUCCAGCCAUGCCGCGUGUGUGAAGAAGGCCUUCGGGUUGUAAAGCACUUUCAGUGGGGAAGAAAGCCUUGGGGCUAAUACCCUCGAGGGAGGACAUCACCCACAGAAGAAGCACCGGCUAACUCCGUGCCAGCAGCCGCGGUAAUACGGAGGGUGCGAGCGUUAAUCGGAAUUACUGGGCGUAAAGCGCGCGUAGGCGGUCUGAUAAGCCGGUUGUGAAAGCCCCGGGCUCAACCUGGGAACGGCAUCCGGAACUGUCAGGCUAGAGUGCAGGAGAGGAAGGUAGAAUUCCCGGUGUAGCGGUGAAAUGCGUAGAGAUCGGGAGGAAUACCAGUGGCGAAGGCGGCCUUCUGGACUGACACUGACGCUGAGGUGCGAAAGCGUGGGUAGCAAACAGGAUUAGAUACCCCGGUAGUC
rnacentral:rRNA from 1 species